rnacentral:lncRNA from 1 species
GGCAGAGUGCCGGGUUCAAUCCCAGCACCAAAAGAAAAAAGAAAGAAAAAGAUGAAGCAAGAACACUCCCGCAGACGCUGACUGCUCUCACAAAGCAGCUCUCCUGACUUUCAGAAUUAGCUCCUUCCGCUGGGCGCGGUGGUGCUGCCUGUAACCCAAGCUGCUCGGGAGGCUGAGGCAGGAGGAUCACGAGGUCAAAGUCAGCCUCAGCAACUUAGUGAUACCUUAAAGCAACUUAGCCAGACCCUGUCUCUAAAUAAAUUAAAAGGCUGGGGGUGUGGCUCCGUGGGUAAGCGCCUUUGGGUUCAAUCCCCAGCACCAAGAAAGCAAAACCCAAAGCCUCCUUUUCACAUCCAGAUGAAGACUUCACCCAGCCAGUGCCCUGUGCUAGGGCCCUGUGCUAGGGCCUUCCUUGUUUCUCAAGUAGUCCUCCCACCAACCCUGGGAAGGAGGGCGGCAUUUAUCACCAUUAUUAUUAUCAUCAGGUCAUCUUACAGGUAAGGAAACUGAAGAGAGGCUGGGACUUACCCACAACCAGGUCUUCGUGAUUCCAAAAUCCCUAUUUUUUUUUUUUUAAUUUGGACAGAAGGUUCAAAGGUGGCGUCUCCCUUCCCUUGCCUAGGAUCCUUUAUCCAGUUUGAC